UGACGGUACCUGACUAAGAAGCACCGGCUAAAUACGUGCCAGCAGCCGCGGUAAUACGUAUGGUGCAAGCGUUAUCCGGAUUUACUGGGUGUAAAGGGAGCGCAGGCGGUACGGCAAGUCUGAUGUGAAAGCCCGGGGCUCAACCCCGGUACUGCAUUGGAAACUGUCGAACUAGAGUGUCGGAGGGGUAAGCGGAAUUCCUAGUGUAGCGGUGAAAUGCGUAGAUAUUAGGAGGAACACCAGUGGCGAAGGCGGCUUACUGGACGAUAACUGACGCUGAGGCUCGAAAGCGUGGGGAGCAAACAGGAUUAGAUACCCUG
rnacentral:rRNA from 1 species